GAUGAACGCUGGCGGCGUGCCUAAUACAUGCAAGUCGAGCGAACAGACGAGGAGCUUGCUCCUCUGACGUUAGCGGCGGACGGGUGAGUAACACGUGGAUAAUCUACCUAUAAGACUGGGAUAACUUCGGGAAACCGGAGCUAAUACCGGAUAAUAUAUUGAACCGCAUGGUUCAAUAGUGAAAGACGGUUUUGCUGUCACUUCUAGAUGGAUCCGAGCCGCAUUAGCUAGUUGGUAAGGUCACGGCUUACCAAGGCAACGAUGCGUAGCCGACCUGAGAGGGGGAUCGGCCACACUGGAACUGAGACACGGUCCAGACUCCUACGGGAGGCAGCAGUAGGGUAUCUUCCGCAAUAGGCGAAAGCUUGACGGAGCAACGCCGCGUGAGUGAUGAAGGUCUUCGGAUCGUAAAACUCUGUUAUUAGGGAAGAACAAAUGUGGAAGUAACUAUGCACGUCUUGACGGUACCUAAUCAGAAAGCCACGGCUAACUACGUG
rnacentral:rRNA from 1 species